UGAAGAUCAUCUAUAAACCUAAUCGGAAAUGUCUGGAAUGUUUAUCGUUCAGUUUGGCGGUCGAAGAUGACGUCAGUGAUACUAUUUGCAAGACAUGUGUUUUCAUUUGCCUUUUGAUGGAAGAUUUCAUAAUUGAAGAAAAUUCCACUUGAUGCGUAUUGAACGGUCCCAUCAAGGCAGUCGUGUCGUGUCGUGUCGUGGUGACAAAAUUCCUCAAAUAAAGGAAAGUUUUAGAGAGGAUGUUGAAGGUUCUCUCAAAAUUGAUAAUCCAACUUCAAGCCGCUGGUGUGCAUAAAUUAUUACAUAAACGAACGGAAUUUGUUAAUGCCAAAUAUAGACAAUUGUUUUAGCUUUUGAAUGUCAUUGUUUGUGGUAUAUGGAACAAAAUUAAUCAAGUCAAAAGGGUUGAAAAAGUUUUGUCUAAAGCGCAUUUUUUUUCACCUCUGUGUAAGAUUUUUUAAUUUAUACAGUAUUCGUUGAAACAUAUUUACAUGUGAUAACCCAAAAUUUCAAA